rnacentral:rRNA from 1 species
CAGUAGCCGCGGUAAUACGAAGGGUGCAAGCGUUAAUCGGAAUUACUGGGCGUAAAGCGUGCGUAGGCGGUGAGUUAAGUCUGCUGUGAAAUCCCCGGGCUCAACCUGGGAAUGGCAGUGGAUACUGGCUCGCUAGAGUGUGUCAGAGGAUGGUGGAAUUCCCGGUGUAGCAGUGAAAUGCGUAGAGAUCGGAAGGAACAUCUGUGGCGAAGGCGACUAUCUGGGCCAACACUGACACUGAGGCACGAAAGCGUGGGGAGCAAACAGGAUUAGAUACCCGAGUAGUCCCUGUCUCUUAUAA